AGAUAUAUUAACCAUUUGAUCCUUACACUUCCUAGGAGGAAGUACAAUCAGGAUCCCCAUUUAGAAGAUGAGCAGCCAGUAACAGAGAUUUAAGUUAUUUGCCCAAGGCCACAUAGCUAGCAAACAGUGCCAAUUCAAGAGCAGGUCAUCUGACUCAAGACUUUAUGUUCUUUGUCACUAUACUAAACUGUGAGAAAUAGAAUUAAACUUGCCAAUUAACAUGAUCUGCCCAUCUCAGGUUUACACUUUCAAAUGAAAUCAAUUUCUUUUGAGUAAAUGCUCAGUCAGGUCCUCACACUUAUGGGAGAGGGGCUUCUGGUGGCUGUACUGGUCCCUGAGCAGUGGGUGGACAUCUACUGCUGGGAAGCUCUGUAGUCUGUUCUCAGUUGGUCUCUUUCCCUGGCUGGUCUCUGGCCUUGGCAGCAUACUGCCUCUGGCUGCCUCAUGCCACGAGAGGGUGGUCAUGAGUGUCCCCCGGGCCCCUCUUCCACAGGUAUUGGACAUACCCCCACAGGUCCCCUUCUGCUGGCAUUGAGCGUCCUGUGGACCCUCACCCCAGCCAUCCACUGCCCCAGCUUUGGCACUCAGUACCUUUAGCUGGCUGAGCAGGCUUUUGGUCUUCUCUCUAGGCCCACCAGAAACCCAGGAGUCCUUGCAAAGCCAACCUUGGCUUCCAGGAAAAGAAAAGGACUACCUUUAUCCUUUCCAACUCAUAUCAUCCUCUCUGGACUCUCAUUAGGCUACCAAGCCUUUUCCAAACCACCAUCAGACGUGCUCCAAAGGGUUGUACAGUUUUCUCAGUCUACACUCAGGGAGGUUGAAAUGUAAACAUUACAACUCAGAUGUGCAAAAAAAAAGAAAAACUAUGUAGCUCUUUCUUAUUUUCCAUUAUCUAUCCCAACUUGCUAUGGGGCCCCAUUCCCAGUCAGUAGCAGAGACAAUUAAAAAAAAAACUUAAACCUCAGUCUCUUCUGCUUUUAGGAAAGUCUCCUUCAGUUUAACUCAUUCUUUUGGGGGUAAAUAUUCAAUCAAUUCAAAGUUAAAUUCCUUCUAGGAACUUGAUCAGAUAUCUAGGGUGGGGAAUGAUUCAGCAAGAUCCUUCGUUAAGACUGGGCUAUGCAGCCCAAAGUCAGGAUGAGACCAAGGUCAAGGUCUAGUCAAGAAAAGGACUCAGAAGAGCCUGACCAAAGUUUGGUCAAACAGAAAAUCUUUAUUACCAGACAGCAUCUCAGGCCAAUCUAUCUGAACAUCCAUCAGCCUGGACAUUCUCAGACUCUCUCGCACCCACAGUAUCUGUGGUUUCUAUCACCCUCCUCUUCUUCGCCCUUUGAUUUAAGUUUGGAGAGUUGGAGGUGCCUUUCCAGGGACCUAACAGCAUCCCCACCCUGAGCGAAUUCCCUCCAAUCUCUCUGCUUUCUCUCACAGAGGAAGCCUUUCUACUGAUUCUUCCUUUCUUGUAUCUUCUGUCCUCUCUAUGCUGUGCUCAUAGUAAAACUCUAAUCCAAGUUGGGUUUUGUAUGUGAAAGAGAGGUCUGAGAAUAAAAAAGAACUCCUUUUUCUCUCAGCAAAGGCUAGCUGAGACAAUAUUAUUAUCUUUCUUUGGAUUAAAUGCUACUUGGGAAGACAAAAACUAAACCUGACACUUUGUUUUCCUUUAUAUUUCAACAAUAUUGAUCAUUCCUGACACAAUAAACACCUCUAACUGGAUGAGGACGGUCACACAAAAGGAAGUUCAAAAAAGAAACAUAUAUUAAUAUAUUUCAAAACUACUUUAUUCCCAUGGCAAAUCUAUAGGUGCUUCCUAAGCCCACACUCUGUGCCUUCCCUCCCCAUUCUCCCUGCAAAGCUAUGAUGAUGCAUAUUCUUCUGAUAGUUUGAAAGACAUUUGAAAAAUUCACUUUUCUUUCUCCACAGCACAGUGAUGGACACUGAGGGAGAUAUUGUAUAUUUGUUCACUCAACACUCAUUCCAACGCUCUCCUAGUUUGCCUUUCUAUCUACUACAGGCUGGAAGGUAAAAGAAUUGUAUUUUCCAUACUUUCUUGUGGUUAGGAAUCUGCAUGUG
rnacentral:lncRNA from 1 species